AGAGUUUGAUCAUGGCUCAGAACGAACGCUGGCGGCGUGGAUAAGACAUGCAAGUCGAACGAUUGCUAUCAGGUAGCAAUAUUUGGUAGCGAGAGUGGCGCAAGGGUGCGUAACACGUGGGUAAUCUGCCGUGAAGUCCGGAAUAACCGGCUGAAAGGCGAGCUAAUGCCGGAUGUGAAAAUCGGGUGGCAUCAUCUGAUCUUCAAAGUUGGGGACCGCAAGGCCUGACGCUUCACGAUGAACCCGCGGCCUAUCAGCUAGUUGGUGAGGUAACGGCUCACCAAGGCUAAGACGGGUAGCUGGUCUGAGAGGACGACCAGCCACACUGGAACUGAGACACGGUCCAGACACCUACGGGUGGCAGCAGUCGAGAAUUUUUCACAAUGGGCGAAAGCCUGAUGGAGCGACGCCGCGUGGGGGAUGAAUGGCUUCGGCCCGUAAACCCCUGUCAUUCGUGAACAAAGCUUACGGAUUAAUACCUCGUAAGUUGAUAGUAGCGGAAGAGGAAGGGACGGCUAACUCUGUGCCAGCAGCCGCGGUAAUACAGAGGUCCCAAGCGUUGUUCGGAUUCACUGGGCGUAAAGGGUGCGUAGGUGGUCGGGUAAGUCUGAUGUGAAAUCUCCGAGCUUAACUCGGAAAUGGCAUUGGAUACUAUUCGGCUAGAGGGUUGGAGGGGGGACUGGAAUUCUCGGUGUAGCAGUGAAAUGCGUAGAUAUCGAGAGGAACACCAGUGGCGAAGGCGAGUCCCUGGACAACUCCUGACGCUGAGGCACGAAAGCUAGGGGAGCAAACAGGAUUAGAUACCCUAGUAGUCC
rnacentral:rRNA from 1 species